rnacentral:rRNA from 1 species
UACGUAGGGUGCAGGCGUUAAUCGGAAUUACUGGGCGUAAAGCGUGCGCAGGCGGUCUCUUAAGACAGGUGUGAAAUCCCCGGGCUUAACCUCGGAACUGCCUUCGAUACUGCGGGUCUCGAGUCCGGGAGAGGUGAGUGGAAUUCCUAGUGUAGAGGUGAAAUUCGUAGAUAUUAGGAAGAACACCAGUGGCGAAGGCGGCUCACUGGCCCGGUACUGACGCUGAGGCGCGAAAGCGUGGGGAGCAAACAGG